rnacentral:rRNA from 1 species
GACGAACGCUGGCGGCGUGCUUAACACAUGCAAGUCGAACGGAAAGGCCCUGCUUGCCGGGUACUCGAGUGGCGAACGGGUGAGUAACACGUGGGUGAUCUGCCCUGCACUUCGGGAUAAGCCUGGGAAACGGGGUCUAAUACCGGAUAGGAGCCAGUUUUAGUGUGAUGGUUGGAAAGUUUUUUCGGUGUAGGAUGAGCUCGCGGCCUAUCAGCUUGUUGGUGGGGUAAUGGCCUACCAAGGCGGCGACGGGUAGCCGGCCUGAGAGGGUGGACGGCCACCUUGGGACUGAGAUGCGGCCCAGACUCCUACGGGAGGCAGCAGUGGGGAAGAUUGCACCAUGGGCGCCAGCCUGAUGCAGCGACGCCGCGUGGGGGAUGACGGCCUUCGGGUUGUAAACUCCUUUCGCUAGGGACGAAGCUUUUUGUGACGGUACCUAGAUAAGAAGCACCGGCUAACUACGUG